ACUAUUAGUGUAGUACCAUAUUUCUCAAAAUUUUACUCUACAAAAAAAUUACUGCUUGAGUUUAUUAAAAAUGCAAAUUCUGGUAACUUCUCUUGCCCAUGGUCCCACUUGACCCUGAGAGUCUAAUUUAAAAGGUUUGGAAAUGAGCCUCAAUGCCUACACUUUUAAAUAAUCACAGCUGAUGAUGCUGAUAAAAGGGGUUUUUAGUUCUCAUUUUGAAAAACACUAUCUUAUUAUCAAUUUAUCCCAUCAGAGUUAGUUCCUAGAGGAGCCAUAAAGGGGAACAGUUGAUACGUUUUGAUGGCACUGAAGGAGAGAGGUACCUACUGUGUGGUUUGCCAGAACAACUUUACAUGGCUCUGACAAGUCCCUCUGACAUCACCUCCUCUGGGACAAGAAUUUGUCCAUUUUAAAAUUCGGAAGAUGUUUUAGUCACCUUUCCAUCACUGUAGCAGACACUUAAGAAAAGACAAGAUCGGUCGGCUCACAAUUUGGGAGGCUUCAAUCCAUGAUGAGUUUGUCCCAUUGCUUUUGGACCUGUUAUGAGGCAGUGUGUCACGGCGGGAGCACGCGGCUCCGUGGAUGGAGAUGGGGACAUACCCAGUGACCUAACUUCCUCUCACGAGGCCCCACCUCCUAGAGCUCUGUCACCUCCCAAGCACCAUGGGCUGGUGACAAAUCCUCCACCACAAGGGCCUGUGGGGACAUUCAACACCCAAAUUAUUUCAAGAAAACUAUUUCAAGGAAAUUAGGACGGAGCACUGCUCAGAUAAUUUAGGAUUAGCUGAAAUGUUUUCUUUGCCCUCUCCCUCCCCUCAUCCUCUUCUUUUGCAGAAGAAAGUAUGAGGUUGGCUGUGAAGCAACAAGCAAAUGUGGAGGACACAGGAAUGAAGGUGAAUGAUGAAGUUCACCUUGCCCCAAAGGCAGUGCAAGGCAAGGUGGUGGAGACAAAGAAGCCUGGACCCCCAAAGAAGCUCUUCCCGAGCUCAGCCCUCUUCCGGCAGUGGGGAGAGGAUCUUCCUGAGGCUGAGCAGAAGAAAGCCCAGGACCUGUUCCACAGGUUUGGUUACAAUGUGUACCUCAGCAACAGGCUGCCUCUCAACCGCAGCCUCCCGGACACGAGGGACUCCAGGUGUCUUCAGAAGACAUACCCUCCCCAGCUCCCCUCCCUCAGCGUGAUCCUCAUAUUCAUGGAUGAAGCUCUAUCCAUUAUUCAACGGGCCAUCACCAGCAUAAUUAACCGGACGCCCCCUCAGCUGUUGAAGGAAAUCAUUUUGGUGGAUGACUUUAGCUCAAAUGGUGAGCAACUUGAGAAAGAAGAUGUGUAAAAAUGGCUAUUUGUCCCCUGUGCUUGGCUGGAAAGGGCUUGUAGCUUAGGGUUUGGGAAGCUGCAGGCUGCUCAGGAGGGGAAAGCAGAGGUCGUUCUCUGAGGGCCUAUCUGUGCUGGCCACUCAGUUUUCACACAGCCAGGUGAGAUCAUUAUCUCGAUCACAGAUGAGGAGACUAAGACACAGAGGGACUGCACAGUGUGCCCAGUUGCAUGGCAGGUUGGCAUGGAGCU
rnacentral:lncRNA from 1 species